rnacentral:misc_RNA from 1 species
GUGAAUCAUCGAAUUUUUGAACGCAAAUUGCACUCUCUUCGGAGAGUAUGCCUGUUUGAGGGUCAGCCUUAAAAAAAAUCGACAUAGUUGCUGUUUCGCGUUGACUUUCGCCGGAAAUUGGUUCAUCUUAAACUUUUUGGUUUUAAGCGGCUUAAAAUUUUCUUAACGAUUCAACGAACGUUUCUAAGAUUUACUUACACGUUUAAGGUAUCGAUCUUUAUUAGACGUGCCCUUUCCAUCGGUC